rnacentral:miRNA from 1 species
UAAGUGCUUACCUGUUUGGGCAU